UACGUAGGGGGCAAGCGUUGUCCGGAUUUAUUGGGCGUAAAGAGCGUGUAGGCGGCCUGGAAGGUCAGCUGUGAAAACUCGAGGCUCAACCUCGAGACGUCGGUUGAAACCACCUGGCUAGAGUCCGGAAGAGGAGAGUGGAAUUCCCGGUGUAGCGGUGAAAUGCGCAGAUAUCGGGAAGAACACCCGUGGCUAAGGCGGCUCUCU
rnacentral:rRNA from 1 species